rnacentral:rRNA from 1 species
UACGAAGGGUGCAAACGUUUGCUCGGAAUUAUUGGGCGUAAAGCGCACGUAGGCGGCUUUGCAAGUCCCAUGUGAAAUCCCACGGCUCAACCGUGGAAGUGCAUGGGAAACUGCAGAGCUUGAGUACUUAAGAGGAUCGCGGAAUUCCCGGUGUAGAGGUGAAAUUCGUAGAUAUCGGGAGGAACACCAGUGGCGAAGGCGGCGAUCUGGGAAGAUACUGACGCUGAGGUGCGAAAGCGUGGGGAGCAAACAGG